rnacentral:rRNA from 1 species
UCAAGCUACUAAGGGCGCAGGGUGGAUGCCUUGGUGCCAGGAGGCGAUGAAAGACGUGGCUAGCUGCGAUAAGCCUCGGGGAGCCGCUAAGCGGGCUUAGAUCCGGGGAUUUCUGAAUGGGGGAACCUGAUCCGCGUCAUGGCGGGUCAUCUAUUGCUGAAUACAUAGGCAAUAGAGGCGAACGGAGGGAACUGAAACAUCUAAGUACCUCCAGGAAAAGAAAGCGACAGCGAUUCCCUAAGUAGUGGCGAGCGAAAGGGGAACAGCCUAAACCGGCUUUGUGUGAUAGCCCGUAAGCGUUGCAGGGCCGGGGUUGCGGGGUUUUAUCGGAAGAGGUUACGGCCCCUUCGGAAAGUUACAAAACCUGUGUAUAAUUGAAUCUGCUGGAAAGCAGAGCCACAGAGGGUGAUAGCCCUGUAAGUGAAAUACACAGGACUUUCUGGAUAAAGCUUCCAAGUACUGCGGGACACGUGAAAUCCUGCAGGAAUCUAGGGGGACCAUCUCCUAAGGCUAAAUACUACCUGGCAACCGAUAGUGAACAAGUACCGUGAGGGAAAGGUGAAAAGAACUCCGGGAGGAGAGUGAAAUAGUACCUGAAACCGUGUGCCUACAAGCUGUGGAAGGACCAUGGAUGAGUGAAAGGGGUAACCCUUUUGUUUAUCCGGUCUGACUGCGUGCCUUUUGCAUAAUGAGUCAGCGAGUUACUCUAUGUAGCAAGGUUAAGCCGUAAGGUGGAGCCGUAGCGAAAGCGAGUCUGAACAGGGCGAUUGAGUUGCAUGGAGUAGACCCGAAACCAAGUGAUCUAUCCAUGGCCAGGGUGAAGCGCAUGUAACAGUGCGUGGAGGCCCGAACCGUUGUGGGUUGAAAACCGCUCGGAUGAGCUGUGGAUAGGGGUGAAAGGCCAAUCAAACUUGGAAAUAGCUGGUUCUCCCCGAAAUAUAUUUAGGUAUAGCCUUGUAACUUUAAGUACCGGAGGUAGAGCACUGAAUGGGCUAGGGGUCCUACCAGAUUACCAAACCCAACCAAACUCCGAAUGCCGGUAACUUCAAUUACAGGAGUCAGACUACGGGAGAUAAGUUCCGUGGUCGAGAGGGAAACAGCCCAGACCGCCAGCUAAGGUCCCUAAUACAUGCUAAGUGGAGAAGGAUGUGGAAGUGUACAGACAACCAGGAGGUUGGCUUAGAAGCAGCCACCCUUUAAAGAAAGCGUAAUAGCUCACUGGUCAAAUGAGUCUGCGCCGAAAAUGUAACGGGGCUCAAGCAUGUAACCGAAGCUGCGGACUUGCACCGCAAGGUGGGAGUGGUAGGGGAGCAUUCCAUGGUAGGUCGAAGCCGGACCGUAAGGACCGGUGGACGAGAUGGAAGAGAUUAUGCUGACAUAAGUAGCGAUAAAGUCUGUGAGAAACAGACUCGCCGAAAACCUAAGGUUUCCUGAGUAAAGCUAAUCUUCUCAGGGUUAGUCGAUCCCUAAGCCGAGGCCGACAGGCGUAGGUGAUGGGAAACAGGUUAAUAUUCCUGUACCACUAGAUCAGCGCUAUCAGCGAUGGGGGGACGUAGAAGGGUAGGCCAUCCAGGUGUUGGACGCCCUGGUUCAAGCCGGUAGGAGGAGAUUCCAGGCAAAUCCGGAAUCUCAUUCAACUCCGAGAAGCGAUGAGGAGAGAUUUUAUCUCGUAAACUGGCUGAUCCCAUGCUACCAAGAAAAGCCUCUAGUGAGCUGGUCUGGUGAUCGUACCGUAAACCGACACAGGUAGGUAAGGAGAGUAUCCUAAGGCGCUUGAGUGAUUCCUCGUUAAGGAACUCGGCAAAAUUACACCGUAACUUCGGAAGAAGGUGUGCCCGCACGCGUGAAGCGAUACGCACGUCGAGCGCGAGUGGGUUGCAGUGAAAAGGCCCAAGCGACUGUUUAGCAAAAACACAGGUCUCUGCGAAGUCGUAAGACGAUGUAUAGGGACUGACGCCUGCCCGGUGCUGGAAGGUUAAGGGGAUUUGUUAGCCGCAAGGCGAAGCUUUGAACCGAAGCCCCAGUAAACGGCGGCCGUAACUAUAACGGUCCUAAGGUAGCGAAAUUCCUUGUCGGGUAAGUUCCGACCUGCA